AGCGAACGCUGGCGGCAGGCCUAACACAUGCGAGUCGAACGAACCUUUCGGGGUUAGUGGCGGACGGGUGAGUAACACGUGGGAACGUGCCUUUAGGUUCGGAAUAACUCAGGGAAACUUGUGCUAAUACCGAAUGUGCCCUUCGGGGGAAAGAUUUAUCGCCUUUAGAGCGGCCCGCGUCUGAUUAGCUAGUUGGUUGAGGUAAUGGCUCACCAAGGCGACGAUCAGUAGCUGGUCUGAGAGGAUGAUCAGCCACAUUGGGACUGAGACACGGCCCAAACUCCUACGGGAGGCAGCAGUGGGGAAUCUUGCGCAAUGGGCGAAAGCCUGACGCAGCCAUGCCGCGUGAAUGAUGAAGGUCUUAGGAUUGUAAAAUUCUUUCACCGGGGACGAUAAUGACGGUACCCGGAGAAGAAGCCCCGGCUAACUUCAUG
rnacentral:rRNA from 1 species